GCGAUGCUCAUGGCAAUGUUAAAGGUAACAAAAGUUAGUUUUAAUUUAAGAUCUUCUACAAUAUGAUUCUAGGUUUUGUUUGUACAACGCGAACAUUGUCCCUGGCUGGCUUUUCAACACUUCCUGCUAUAUGUUUUGUGAUGCAUUUCCUAUAUGUAAGUAUUUGAAAGCUUCAAUUAAUUAUGAAAAAGUUAUUAAAUAAGAUGAAAAUAUAGACAUGAUAGCAGGAUUUUGCAUGCCAUUCUUGCUGCCUCUUAUUUAAGGGUUGGAUAAAGUUUAUUUCACAUAUAUCUCCUUCUUACUCUUAAAAUUUUUCUCGGCAUUUCAUUUCUAAAAGUUGCAUUUAGUUUCUAGUUUGAGACAAUUGUUUACUUUACAAGGACAAUAAAGUUUUCUUAAUAAUGAUUUAAUAAUAAAAUCAUAUUGUUGGAUACAGACAGUUGAGAUUAUCUUCCAGUUUUUUCGUUGGGCAACUGUAUGUUGAUGAAUAGGAACUAUUACUAUGGUGUCUUAUGAGCAAACUGAAACGAUUUUAGUUUUGUUCUUUUAUCAAUUUUUUAUCCACCAGAUGUUGGCAAUGGACCCUUGAAUAUCAGGCAAACCAUUUCAUUUGCCAUGGGGAAUUGUAAUAGGUUUAUUCCAAGAUUAGGAAAUUGUUUCUUGUCAUUGAUGGGAAAGGCUUGCCAAGUUCAAGAAAGUGUGAUGUAGGACAGAUGUUGGAUCUGCCUUUGUUGUGGAUUAUUGUUUCACUCUGUAUAUUAGGGUUAGGAAUUAGGGAAUUAUGGUUCUAGAAUGGGAUUUUGAAAUUGGAUCAGGUGUAGUGGUUUUAAGGGUACAAGUGGGCCACUACAAGGGCUGGGUUGGGGAAUUUCAAUUUCCCUGCAGCAAUUCGAAACUGAGAUUUAGUGUUAAAGAGGUCUAGUUACUGAAGAAAGAGUAAGAAAAUCUUGGAGGAUUUGGGAUGCUGUUGGUAGAACUAGGAUAAGUUUAAAAGCUUUUCACCGUGUUGUGAGCAGUGUCAAGAGACUACAGGGAUUUAGGGCUGUAGAUGUAGAAAUCCCUGAGAUUAAAAGACUUUUUUUUUUUUUAUAGAUGAGAUUAAAAGACUUGUCAUAGUGGAUUAGUAAUCCUAAAUAGGAGAAUUAUUGAUAAAGCUCUAGAGCCCUAAAUAAGAUGGUAUAACUAGUAUUAAAAUUCCUAAAUAAAAAAAAGAAAUGCCUUACUAACAGGGACACUUUCCCGGUGACCAAAGUACUUCUCUUCUAGGUUUAGGCUUUUAUUUUCAAAUUGGGCAUCUCCUUGCCAGUCAUCCUACGGAUGUCCUCAAAUUGCUUUUGUCAAAACUAUUGUAUCAUUUUGGUGAAACUAUGUAAUUAAGGAAGGUAAGUGUUUAGUAAGGAAUUAAAAUUUAUUUUGUAAAUGAAUUAAUUAUGGUUAGUGUGAAAAGAGAGGGGGGA
rnacentral:misc_RNA from 1 species